CGAACAGGAUUAGAUACCCUGGUAGUCCACGCCGUAAACGAUGAGUGCUAAGUGUUAGGGGGUUUCCGCCCCUUAGUGCUGCAGCUAACGCAUUAAGCACUCCGCCUGGGGAGUACGGUCGCAAGACUGAAACUCAAAGGAAUUGACGGGGGCCCGCACAAGCGGUGGAGCAUGUGGUUUAAUUCGAAGCAACGCGAAGAACCUUACCAGGUCUUGACAUCCUCUGACAACCCUAGAGAUAGGGCUUUCCCUUCGGGGACAGAGUGACAGGUGGUGCAUGGUUGUCGUCAGCUCGUGUCGUGAGAUGUUGGGUUAAGUCCCGCAACGAGCGCAACCCUUGAUCUUAGUUGCCAGCAUUCAGUUGGGCACUCUAAGGUGACUGCCGGUGACAAACCGGAGGAAGGUGGGGAUGACGUCAAAUCAUCAUGCCCCUUAUGACCUGGGCUACACACGUGCUACAAUGGACAGAACAAAGGGCUGCGAGACCGUCAAGGUUUAGCCAAUCCCACAAAUCUGUUCUCAGUUCGGAUCGCAGUCUGCAACUCGACUGCGUGAAG
rnacentral:rRNA from 1 species